AGCCCAGAGCCUGAAUCAGUGUGUGUGUUAGUGGAAGCGUCUGGAAAGGCGCGCGAUACAGGGUGACAGCCCCGUACACAAAAAUGCACAUAUUGUGAGCUCGAUGAGUAGGGCGGGACACGUGGUAUCCUGUCUGAAUAUGGGGGGACCAUCCUCCAAGGCUAAAUACUCCUGACUGACCGAUAGUGAACCAGUACCGUGAGGGAAAGGCGAAAAGAACCCCGGCGAGGGGAGUGAAAAAGAACCUGAAACCGUGUACGUACAAGCAGUGGGAGCCUCUUUUAUGGGGUGACUGCGUACCUUUUGUAUAAUGGGUCAGCGACUUAUAUUCUGUAGCAAGGUUAACCGAAUAGGGGAGCCGAAGGGAAACCGAGUCUUAACUGGGCGUUAAGUUGCAGGGUAUAGACCCGAAACCCGGUGAUCUAGCCAUGGGCAGGUUGAAGGUUGGGUAACACUAACUGGAGGACCGAACCGACUAAUGUUGAAAAAUUAGCGGAUGACUUGUGGCUGGGGGUGAAAGGCCAAUCAAACCGGGAGAUAGCUGGUUCUCCCCGAAAGCUAUUUAGGUAGCGCCUCGUGAA
rnacentral:rRNA from 1 species